AUUGAACGCUGGCGGCAGGCCUAACACAUGCAAGUCGAACGAGUGGCGGACGGGUGAGUAAUGUCUGGGAAACUGCCUGAUGGAGGGGGAUAACUACUGGAAAAGGUAGCUAAUACAGCAUACCAUCGGAUGUGCCCCGAUGGGAUUAGCUAGUAGGUGGGGUAAAGGCUCCACUAGGCGACGAUACCUAGCUGGUCUGAGAGGCGGACCAGCCACACUGGAACUGAGACACGGUCCAGACGCCGACGGGAGGCAGCAGUGGGGAAUAUUGCACAAUGGGCGCAAGCCUGAUGCAGCCAUGCAGCGUGUAUGAAGAAGGCCUUCGGGUUGUAAAGUACUUUCAGCGGGGAGGCGUUACCCGCAGAAGAAGCACCGGCUAACUCCGUGCCAGCAGCCGCGGUAAUUC
rnacentral:rRNA from 1 species